AUCUAAAACUUUUUUGACUUCAUACUCUUGAUUAUUAUUUACUUUUAUAUGACAAGGUGGUAUUUGUUGUCUUCUUGAUAUAUCUACUAUCUUAUAUGGUUCAAAAAAAGAUAUAUAGAAUAUAUGAUGAAUCUUCAAAGAUUUUGGUAGGUACAAUUGAUUAGCAAUUAGAUUAAUUUAUUUGCAUAUAAGAAAUGGUCAAAGUUUAUGAUAAUUCAACUUGUCACAUAGGUGAAUAGUCUUGAUAUUAUGACAAAGUAAUCAUAUCUUAUUGCCAACAUAGAAUUGAAGUUGUUUCCUGCUAUAAGCAUCUCUAUUGAUUUUUUGUCAUUCUUGAACAUCUUUUAGUGCACCUUAAUUGUUGUAUUUAGCUCUAAAAAAUGACUAAUCAAAUCAUUUGCUCUAAAUUUAAUAAUGUUUAAAAAGUCAAAAAUAU
rnacentral:lncRNA from 1 species